rfam:Schistosoma haematobium scaffold2174_6, whole genome shotgun sequence.
AGACUGCUGAGGAGUCCCACAAUAGGACGAAACGGCCGUCCAGUGC